GCAGCAGCGCCGACCUUCCUGUUCAGCACGUCCUGCCAGUUGAUGGCGGCGAAGAAGCGGUGCUCCAUCACCUCCUGCGCGUCCGCGGGGCCGCCGCCGAGCCUGGGGGCAACAGAGACACAGCUUCGCGCACGGCGACCCACAGCGCCACCCACAGCGCCACCCACAGCACCACCCACAGCGCGACCCACAGUGCGACCCACAGUGCGACCCACAGCGCCCAGUGUGUGACCCACAGCGCCACCCACAGCGCCACCCACAGCGCCACCCACAGCGCCCAGUGUGUGACCCACAGCGCGACCCACAGCACCCCAUAUGUGACCCACAGCACCACCCACAGCGCCACCCACAGCGCCCAGUGUGUGACCCACAGUGCGACCCACAGCGCGACCCACAGCACCCAGUGUGUGACCCACAGCGCGACCCACAGCACCCCAUAUGUGACCCACAGCGCGACCCACAGCGCAACCUACUGCACCCACAAUGCAACCCACAGCACCCACAGCGCGACCCACAGCGCCACCCACAGCACCACCCACAGCGCCCAGUGUGUGACCCACAGUGUGACCCACAGCACCCAGUGUGUGACCCACAACACGACCCACAGGACCCAGUGUGACCCACAGUGCAACCCACUGCACCCACACAGCCCUGUGCUGUGACCCACAUGGCCCCACAGCACCCAGUGCGACCCACAGCACCCAGUGUGACGCACAGCACCCAGCGUGACCCACAGCACCCACAGUGCGACCCAGGGAAGCCCCCAACCACCACAAUCCCUCCCAGGGGAGUCCCCAAAGCCCCAUAGAAACCCCCAAAGCCCCCCAACCCCCCAGCAGAGCCCCCAAACCCCCCAGCAGAGCCCCCAACCACCCACAGAAGCCCCCAGAC
rnacentral:lncRNA from 1 species